rnacentral:rRNA from 1 species
AUGGUUAUGCUUCAAAUGAGAAGGAAGGAAAUGGAAUCCAAUGUGAUACAAAAUCCUGAAGUGCAAGGCAUAAGCAGGUUGAGGUCCCUAAUUGCCAAGGGGAUGAGAAUGAACAACUGUGCAAUCAGUCCGACCAAGUCUGAGCUUGAAAAAUAUCUUGCCGAGGAGACUGAAGCAGACACCACCAAAUUUGAUAUUCUCGAGUGGUGGAAGAAGGUCAAUUCUUCUAGAUUUCCAGGGUUAUCACGCUUAGCUCCUGAUGUCUUGGCUGUCCCGAUAUCUACAGUUGCCCCCGAGUUCACCUUCAGUGCCGGUGGACGUAUCCUUGACGAGUUAGGAGCUCGCUUACACCAUUAA